CGGACGGGUGAGUAAUGUCUGGGAAACUGCCUGAUGGAGGGGGAUAACUACUGGAAACGGUAGCUAAUACCGCAUAACGUCGCAAGACCAAAGAGGGGGACCUUCGGGCCUCUUGCCAUCAGAUGUGCCCAGAUGGGAUUAGCUAGUAGGUGGGGUAACGGCUCACCUAGGCGACGAUCCCUAGCUGGUCUGAGAGGAUGACCAGUCACACUGGAACUGAGACACGGUCCAGACUCCUACGGGAGGAGCAUG
rnacentral:rRNA from 1 species